AUAACAAUAACGCUCAGUAAGACGCUAUAUAAAAUGUUGUGCUAAACCAAAUAAUAACAUAAAUAAAACGCUAUUGUAUCCUCAUCAUCAUCAUUCUACUCCUCCUCUUAACCCUUAUUAUCUACGCCACAGUUUCCAAAUCCUCCCACAACCGUCACAACACAUGGCAACAACCUCCCCCUCCUCCAAUAGCUCAGAUCCGCCAAGCGUGUAACGCCACACGUUUCCCAGACCACUGCUUCUCCUCCCUCUCCAAACCGGGUCUGGUCCCGCAAGAUCCUAAGCCGGUUCAGAUCAUCCACUCGGAUAUCUCACUCUCCUUCGAGACUCUCAAUUCCGGUCAGUCUCAAAUCAAAUCAAUCCUAGACUCCUCCGCAGGGAAUAAAAACCGCACGAACAUCGUCACCAUUUGCCUCCAGAUACUAUCUUACUCGUAGCACUGAACGGAGUCGUCGGACGUCGCAGUCACGAGCGGGGCAAUCAAAGACGCACGUGCGUGGAUGAGCGCAGCUCUCGCUUACCAGUACGACUGCUGGUCAGGUCUCAAAGCCCACCUAUUCUGAAACUUGUGAAGUUACUUCCAUUUGUGUUUCACUCUAGCAGUUUAGUCUGACUGUCUGUAUUCAUCUUACCAAACAUUACAUAGAAUGUCUUAAGCUUAUUCCCCACUCCAAAUUUUCCUUUGCAAAAAUAUGGUUGCCGGUGCUCGGCAGAUAUGAGGAAACGCUAUUGGGAAAGCUCCAAAAGAUAAGAUAUUGAAGAACUACAUUGAGAUUGAGCUCCAGCUGGGAAACAUAGAUAGAUGUAGAAAGCUUUAUGAGCUUUUGAGUGGUCUCCAGAGAAUUUCUAUGCUUGGAGCAAAUACGCUGAGCUAGAGAGGUCUCUUGCUGAGACUGGACUAGCUAGAACUAUCUUUGAGCUUGCAAUAUCUCAGCCAGCACUUGACAUGCCCUAACUGCUAUGGAAGGCGUACAUAGGUUUUGAGAUAUCAGAAGGAGAAUCAGAGAGGAGACGAGGUUAAUAUGAGAGACUAUUGGACCGCACAAAGCAUUACAAGGUGUGGCGGUGUAGGUUAGUUUUGCAAAGUUUGAAGCUUAUGCUGCAGAACAAGAAGAAGAUGAGGGAGAGGAAGACCAAGAAGAAAUAGAUGCUAUUGAACUCCAGAAAGAGUGCUUCAGACGUGCCUGAGAUAAUUUAAAACUACAUGUUAUAUGAAUUUUGAUUAUAACCUUGAGACAUGUAUUAACUGUUUUUUUCUCUCUCUAUCUUCUUUCUUCUGAUCAUCUAUAUUCGAGAGAGCCAACAACUACUAAUUAAAAAGACUGCACCCGAGUAGAAAGAAGAAUGAGCUACACUAUUGGAAGAUUGGCUUAACAUGUAGACUAAUUUUGGUAAUCUCGAGUAUGUGAGUGUGGUACAAUCUAAGCUCCCGAAGAAGUUCAAGAAAUCAUUAGAGAAGAUGGGUCUACAGAGUAUGAAGAAUACAUUGAUUACCUAUAUCCAGAAAAAAUCACAGACAACAAAUCUCAAGAUUCUUGAAGCUGCUUACAAGUGGAAGAAGCAGAAACUUGCAGCUUCUGAGAAGGAUUACGAUUAUUACGAAGUUUCUUUUGAGUUAUAUCAAAACUGUGAGUUGAUGUUUUGUAUACUUUCUUAGUUCUCUGUACAUCGCCACUCACCCUUUAUGAUUUUGCUGUUAUUUUUUUUUUAUUGUGUUAAAACUCACUGUUAUUGUUUUUGUUUAUUUUAGCAUUAUUGUUAUGUUAUAGUCCUUCGGUAAGUCCUCUGUACAUCGCCAUUGUUAUUGUUUUUGUUUAUUUUGGCAUUUUUGAUUGUGUUAAAACUCACUGUUAGUUCUAUAUGUACAUCGCCAUUGUUGUUAUGUUAUAGUCCUUCGGUUUACUAACAUGUAUCUAACAAUUGCUUAAACUUUUAGUUUGUUUUAUAUUUGUCAUACAUUAAAUUUUGUCUUUAUUGGUUUUUGAAUUUUUUUUUUCCUUAAAAUUUCAGAGUAUUGACUUGUAAUUCCAUUUUGAAAUCGAAUGUAGGCCUCAUGGUGUUGUUGAAUUGAGUGGUAUUGUAAAAACAAAAUCCAAUGUAGUUCUGAAAAUAAAACCUUAUACUUUUUUUGUUAAAUAACAAACACAAACUUCUAGCAAUGUUUAUAGUAGAAACAUGUGGUCACACU